rnacentral:rRNA from 1 species
GGCGAGCCGGGGGCGAGUGGGCGGGGUAAUAGUGGGGUUGUAAGGGGUGUUCGGAAUGACUGGGCGGAAAGGGUGCGUAGGUGGCGUGGUAAGUCAGAUGUGAAAGCCCGGGGCUCAACCUCGGAAUUGCAUCCGAUACUGCCAUGCUCGAGUACUGAAGAGGUGACUAGAAUUCUAGGUGUAGCAGUGAAAUGCGUAGAUAUCUAGAGGAAUACCAAAGGCGAAGGCAGGUCACUGGGCAGUUACUGACACUGAGGCACGAAGGCCAGGGUAGCGAACGGGAUUAGAUACCCGGUAGUC